AAAGAGAAGAAGAAAGCCUUUUGUUAGGAAGCCCCAUCGUCAUGCAAGAUUGAGGGGCGGCACCAGGAAACUAGAAGCCGGGAGGUUGUAUUUCUUUUCUAGGUGGAUGAAAGGGGAAAUCGAGACGGAAGUCGACCUCCAAGAAAACACUGCUGGCAGAGUUCGACGGGCCCGCAGCCUGGUUUCGUAACACUGCAAUUCAACUUGCGGAAAAUGCUGCGGCGCUCUUGCGGCGUGCUCUCUAUGUCACCGAAGUGACGUCACCAUCCCUGAUUCGCUUAACCCGUCUCUGGAGGAGUCCCUUCUGGGGGAUAUGCAGAUCAAAGACUCCCUCUCUCACUCUCUCGUGCUAGAGUGCCGGGGAACGUGCGGUGAAACAGCAUCGACUGCAUCGAGGAGAAAUGAACGCAGUGCAUGGAGAAAGAAGGGGCCAUAAAGCUGCCGAGCCUGAAACGAAACUUCGCAGGACGCACGGGGAUUUUGCAUUUGUUUGCAUUUUGAUUUUGCACUGGCUGUUAAGAAUAUAUUGAUUCAAAGUA